CCCCUCUCAGGGUCGCAUCUGGAGAAUUUCCAGUACUCUAUCAGUCUCGAAUACAGGAGGGAGAGUCGAGCAGAGGCCUAUCCAUUCCAUUCCUAGCUUGGCCAGAGGCUAGCGAGUGGCAGGCCAUCUGCUAAAAGU
rnacentral:snoRNA from 1 species